rnacentral:rRNA from 1 species
GAUGAACGCUAGCUACAGGCUUAACACAUGCAAGUCGAGGGACGGGCGCAGGGGAGAGUAACAUGGAUCCAUCCUGCCCUUUACUCGGUGAGAGCAUUUCGAAAGAGAGAUUACUACCCGAUAUGAUGGGUGCGGAUGCGUUCAUUUAGGUUGUUGGUAAGGUAACGGCUCACGAAGCCUUCGAUGGAUAGGGGUUCUGAGAGGAAGGUCCCCCACAUUGGAACUGAGACACGGUCCAAACUCCUACGGGAGGCAGCAGUAAGGAAUAGUGGUCAAUGGUCGCUAGCCUGAACCAGCCAAGUAGCGUGAAGGAUGAAGGCUUAUGGGUCGUAAACUUCUUUUAUAUAAGAAUAUGUAUUAUAUGAAUAAGGAUCGGCUAACUCCGUGCCAGCAGCCGCGGUAAUUC